rnacentral:rRNA from 1 species
AUGAACGAGGUGGCAACCCUGAAGGAAGCAGUGUCCGAGGCCGAACGCAAUGCGUCCGCGGGACGCACCGAGCGAGAGAAGCAGGAGGCGCGGGUGGCGGAGGUGCGGCAAGAGCUCCAGGCUCUCGUGGAAAAACACGAGAGUUUGGAGCGUGACUCGAAGACUCGAGAGUCCGAGCUCGCCUCGGCUCUUGAGAGUGCCAAAGCUGCCAAGGCCGAAGCCCAAAAAGCCCUCCAGAAGAUUGAGGCGAUAAAGAAGAUAGUGGCGGGUAAGGCAUUCUUCAUGCAAAGCAAGCACGUGAAAGCGAAUUACUUGUUACUUACCCGAAUUCGGAGCUCUCCAGGAGUAUUCGCAGAUCUACCCCGCAGUGUGUCCGAUGAUGCCGCAUUCUAUCGGGCCGAGGAGGGGAGCUCGACGGAGAAGGUAUUCUGGUCUCAGUAUGCUGAGGCCGGACAUCCGGUGCCCCUGAGCGACCAGCUGAAGCAGCUGGUCGAGCUCCACAAGCUGGCCGAACAGGCCAUGAAGGGCCUCAUAGUUCGGCUGUGGCCCAAAGAAGCCAUGCCUGGGAGCUACUUCGGUCUGGUGCGGCGGCUGGUGGACGCCUGUCCAUGGGUUGAAGUCAUCAAGCACUCCGCCUGCAUUGAAGGUGCCCGCCGGGCCCUUGCCUGUGCUAAAGUGCACUGUGGCAGGAUGGACGCCGAGAAGCUUGUGACGGACGCGCCACCGCCGGGCAAGGAGUAUCGCACGCCCGAGGUGUACUAUAAGGGUGUCCUGAAGGGUGCCCACCCUAUAGCGGGCGAAUGCUCCAAAGAUGUAAUUUUUGAGUAG